CAAUGUCUCAUGCAGGCCUGUUUCACAUUUCUGCACUGGGAAGACCUAAAGGUCAGUGCUGGAAUCUAGAAAGUCUGUGCCAGUGGGAUAAACGAUCUGUGCUAGCAGGCUGAGGGAUCUACAGUGGAGCCAGGAAGCAAUGCUCAAAAUAAGAACCAGAGCUCCCCCGAAAAGUACCCCAGCCAUCCUCAGCAACAGUGAGGUCCUGAGCUCCUGCACUGAUCAGGACAGGCGAGUUCCCAUCAGGAAAGCCAUUGCAACAAGCUUCUCCAGAAGACUGAGCAGUGCACCCUUUUCCCCUCCAGAGCCAGGAAGUGAUGCUGAGAGUGAAGAGCUCCCCCAAAGUGAACCAAAGCCAUUCCCAGCGACAACAGGGUCCCAAGCUCCUCGGAGGAUGAAAACAGCAGAGUUCAUCAGGAAAGCCAGCAUAACAAGCUCCUCCAAGAAAACCAACCGCUCUUUACAGCUUUUCUCUGCUUCCAGCAGGCUCUCAGCAGCUUCUACCAGCUCCCAAAAGCCCUCCUGCCUCUCCCAUUCUGCCUCUUAUGCUACCGGCAACAGUCCUCAGAUCGUGGAAAUCCUAACAACCAAUGAAGAACCAGAAGCAAAUAAGAGCCAUGUCGGACGCAAGGAAAAUGUAGAAAAUCGCUUGGCCAAUUCGACAGAAACUCUUACAGAUUUUUUAAAAGAUUGGCUUCUAGGGUUUCUAAAAAAAUUUUUUUUUAUUUUCCUCUGUCUUCUUAAUCACUUUUUCACAGAAUAUGUUACUUUCAUUCCAUCUGUGAAAAAGAGUCUAUGAGUGAAUAAGUCUAGGUAACACUGUUUCCUAUAUCAUCUCUUUGAACAUUACUAUUUGCAACCACAUAUGAAAAAUUCCAUGAAAGUGUGAUAUUAAAUAAACAGAUUUAAACUUCACAUCCCGG
rnacentral:lncRNA from 1 species